rnacentral:rRNA from 1 species
UGGGGAAUAUUGGACAAUGGGCGAAAGCCUGAUCCAGCCAUGCCGCGUGAGUGACGAAGGCCUUAGGGUUGUAAAGCUCUUUUGGCGGGGAAGAUAAUGACGGUACCCGCAGAAUAAGCUCCGGCUAACUUCGUGCCAGCAGCCGCGGUAAUACGAAGGGAGCUAGCGUUGUUCGGAAUCACUGGGCGUAAAGCGCACGUAGGCGGAUUGUUUAGUCAGGGGUGAAAUCCCGGGGCUCAACCUCGGAACUGCCUUUGAUACUGGCAAUCUCGAGUCCGAUAGAGGUGGGUGGAAUUCCUAGUGUAGAGGUGAAAUUCGUAGAUAUCGGGAGGAACAUCAGUGGCGAAGGCGGCCCUCUGGUCCAGUACUGACACUCAAGUGCGAAAGCGUGGGGAGCAAACAGGAUUAGAUACCCGAGUAGUCCCUGAGCGGGCUGGCAAGGCGCAU